rnacentral:rRNA from 1 species
UACAGAGGGUGCGAGCGUUGUCCGGAAUCACUGGGCGUAAAGGGCGCGUAGGCGGCGCGGUAAGCGUGCGGUGAAAGCCCGGGGCUCAACCCCGGGUCGGCCGUGCGGACUGCCGGGCUGGAGCACUGUAGAGGCAGGUGGAAUUCCGGGUGUAGCGGUGGAAUGCGUAGAGAUCCGGAAGAACACCGGUGGCGAAGGCGGCCUGCUGGGCAGUGGCUGACGCUGAUGCGCGACAGCGUGGGGAGCAACAGG